CCACCAUGAACUAAGGAUCUUUGGGCAACCAUAUUCUUCUGCCAUGAUGUUUCUGCCUUGAAGCCAGCACUCCAGAUUGAAAAAUAGAGGAUGGAAACAACAGAAAGAGCUUGGAUCACUGGGUUCUCCGCUUGGAAAACAGCCAAGUAGAAGAGCUGUCCAACACGAUGACCAACUGAAAAUCAGCCCAAUUAUUGCAAAAUAGGGAAAAAAUAGUUUCCAGUUAGUAAUUCCUCAGAAGAAUUUGGCAAGAGCAUCACGAGGCAGAUGUUCAGAAGAAUUAGGCUAUACAGCCAAUGGAAAUUGCAACAGAUUUACUCUUAAGAAGCAAAACAUAUUAAUCAAAGGCCAAUUGAAGCAAUUAACUUAAUUUACAAUCCAGCUAAAAUUGA